GUCUAUGUAGUAUAUCAAUUAUUCUGGUCUUGUAAGCCAGAGAAGAGGAAAAA
rnacentral:tRNA from 1 species